UUUUCUCAUCGAUGAAACAUUUGAUCUCCAUACAGUUUUGGUUCUAAAACUAAAAACGGGAACAAAGAGUGGACUGCAUUUUGUAGAGUUUACCCUUUGCCAAAGUUUCAAAACAUUUAGUUAUUGCACACACGCAGUUCAGAGUAGGCAGUCCCUAAUGGAAAAAUAAAAAAUAAAUACUAGAACUCGCCAAUAGGAUCUCACCAGCUCAUGCUUGGCUCUGCCCACCUCCUUGCUUGUUCUGCCUACUAUGAAAUGACAGGCUCUGGACUAUCUUGGGUUAGUUAUAAAAAUCUUUGCUAUGGGUGUGCACCUAGUGUGCCACCUAGUGUAGAUGAGCAUUAGUACAGGAUCACAUUUGACCUCAUUUUAUAAUCACGCUUUUCUGUAUCUUAAUGAGAAGGGACUUAAGCACAUACAAAAACAAGACAAGAUCACUAUGAUAACUGGCAGUUUUAUGAUGUUUAAUAAAAAAUAAAAUAGAAAAAAAUAUACUGGUACAUAAAAAAAGAAGUUCAAAACAAAAGCCAGGCUGUCACUCCGUGACCGCCGCUAGUUUGGCGACCAUUUUAGGAGUUCCUCUUCAGAUGAGUUGGCCAUGACAGAAGAGCCGCCACCUUUCACAAAAUGGCGGACGUUAAGUUUAAAAUCCCUCAUUGUGAUGCAAUGGAGUGCAUUACAUUGUAUCUAUGUGUAUAUAUGUUUCUUGUUCUCAAUGGUCUAGAGGCUUCCUCUCCUCCACAUCUCUCCGAUCUACCAAAGGAUUGGCUUUUACCUGUUCCAAUUUCUUUUAGAUCAGAUAAAGGACAUGAGGGGAGGAAGCUUGUGUAGACCAUUGGGAUGCACACAGAGUUGAAUCCAUACAGACGUCACACUGCAUUUCAGUCUUAAUAGAAUCUGUAAAAAUGGUGGACAACUGACAGGCUUGACAAAUCUCCAACCAAAGAUAGUGUUUGAGCUCACCUCUCUGACAGAUGAUGGUUCUAUUCUCUAAAAGCAGACACAGCUUGAGUCCCAAAUGGCACCCUAUGUCCUAUAUAGCCCAGCUACCUUCCACAAGACACUACAAAGAUCUAAUCAAAAGUAGUGCAAUACAUUCAGAACAGGAUGCCAUUUGAGGCCGACGACCCUGUCAAAGGCGAUAUAUUGGCCAGGUCGAGUUUUGAUUGGUGGUUAACAGUUGCUAUAGUAACAUUACAGAGAGUGACGUUGGCGCCUAACACAGUCUCAGGAAGGGUAGAGGACUCUAGUGCACUAGGAAGGGUAUGAAGUCGUCCACUACAGAGUGCAAGUCGCUCCUCAUGUGCACACAAAUGACACCCUAACCCCUAUAUUAGGGCACUACUUUAGAACAGCACGAGAGUACAAUAGCAUGUGCUAUAUAGAGAAUGGGGUGUCAUUUGAAAAAAACAAAAACAGUCUUGCUAUUCGCUCAGACAAGCCAGACAUACAGAUACCCAACCACUUAAACACACACCCCCUUCCAUAGACUUUCUGCCAGAUAGAAAUACAAAACUAGACUUUUAAAACAUCAGGACUUGCAUACAAAGACAGAGUUUUGUGGUUCACUUGUAACUGGGCUGAGGCUGGCUAACCACCAUCUAGCCUAGCCCACCAAUUACAGGCCUAGUCGUUCAAAUUGGAGUUUACAGUAACGUCACUCCGAUCCAAGAAGCAGUGGUUGUCAUUGGAAACAGAAAUACUGGGGCACUCAAAAAUAACCCACUUGCAUAGUAAUAACAUCAUAUGUUCAGUGUGUAGCUACCGCGCUGAUCCUCAGCCACACACAGUCCCUCGUAUGUGUGUGUGUGGGGCUAUAUACUUGCAGAGACGAGACACACACACACACACACACACACAAUUACACACAAAGAAAAGACAAACAACUAGUGGAAGUACUUGGCAACCAAAUAUACACUAGAUUCCAGAAUGGAAUCAAAAUGAUUCCCUUUCCUCCACUGUCCAGAGGUCUCCAGAACAUUCUCCCCUGCUAAGAAGAAAGACCCUUUAGCCUUUAGAGCACCUAGUCUUUUAGGGCAUGUCUAAAUGGUACCCUAUCCCCUAUGUAGUUCACUACUUGACAUAGGGGGUAAGUUGCCAUUUCACACCACUCACCAAUCUUCAGGUCAUUUUUGCUGAUCAUUCAUCUAACUCCACCACCAUACCAUGCACAUCUUUAAAAAAUGACAGACAUACACCAACAGAAACACACUUGGAGCAUACAAUAUGUAUUUGGCCUUGUGCCAAACUCCUGCAAUGGGGAAGAGUUUUCAGCCCUACUCUACACUAGGACUGAGUAGCGGAAAUGGCACAAACGUUAGGUGACUAAGUCCUCCUAUGACUGACACACACACACACACAAUAAAGAUAAGGGUUUUAAAAACAACAGCUAUGGUGUUGGGCGUGACUAAGAGCUCAGUCCACUGUGACUCUGCUAUAGUAAGAGCUCAGUCAGUCCACUGUGACUCUGCUAUAGUAAGAGCUCAGUCAGUCAGCCUGCUGUGACUCUGCUAUAGUAAGAGCUCAGUCCGUCAGCCCACUGACUCUGCUAUAGUAAGUGCUCAGUCAGUCAGUCCACUGUGACUCUGCUAUAGUAAGUGCUCAGUCAGUCAGUCCACUGUGACUCUGCUAUAGUAAGUGCUCAGUCAGUCAGUCCACUGUGACUCUGCUAUAGUAAGUGCUCAGUCAGUCAGUCAGUCAGUCCACUGUGACUCUGCUAUAGUAAGAGCUCAGUCAGUCAGUCAGUCCACUGUGACUCUGCUAUAGUAAGAGCUCAGUCAGUCAGUCAGUCCACUGUGACUCUGCUAUAGUAAGAGCUCAGUCAGUCAGUCCACUGUGACUCUGCACUCAUAAGAGCUCAGUCAGUCCGCUGUGACUCUGCUAUAGUAAGAGCUCAGUCAGUCCACUGUGACUCUGCUAUAGUAAGAGCUCAGUCAGUCAGUCAGUCCACUGUGACUCUGCUAUAG
ensembl:lncRNA